AACGAACGCUGGCGGCAUGCCUAACACAUGCAAGUCGAACGAGACCUUCGGGUCUAGUGGCGCACGGGUGCGUAACGCGUGGGAACCUGCCCUUAGGUUCGGAAUAACUCCCCGAAAGGGGUGCUAAUACCGGAUAAUGUCUUCGGACCAAAGAUUUAUCGCCUUUGGAUGGGCCCGCGUUGGAUUAGCUAGUUGGUAGGGUAAAAGCCUACCAAGGCGACGAUCCAUAGCUGGUCUGAGAGGAUGAUCAGCCACACUGGGACUGAGACACGGCCCAGACUCCUACGGGAGGCAGCAGUGGGGAAUAUUGGACAAUGGGCGAAAGCCUGAUCCAGGAAUGCCGCGUGAGUGAUGAAGGCCUUAGGGUUGUAAAGCUCUUUUACCCGGGAUGAUAAUGACAGUACCGGGAGAAUAAGCUCCGGCUAACUCCGUG
rnacentral:rRNA from 1 species